rnacentral:lncRNA from 1 species
GCUGCGACCAGCAAGGCCAUAUACUCCCCCUCCCCUACUAAAAGCCCAAAUAAAAACCCUUCCUUUUAGCUUUUCAAGGAGUUUGGGAUUUGAGCGUUAGCUGCCGUCUCUCCUUACUCAGUGCUGUGCAAUAAUAAAAUCCUACUUCCACUACACCUGGUGUCAGAGAUUGGCUUGCUGCACAACGGGUGAGCGAACUCACUUCAGGUUUGCUAUCAAUUUGGUGACCCAGAUGGGACAAUGUCCUAAGUGGAUGUCUCGCCUGUGGCACACUGGCCUCCAGCUAAAGGCCUCUCUUGGAAGCUGUCCUGCAGCUGCCUGAGCCCCUGGUCUCAGGGACAGCCCCAGGCAACUGGCUGCUGACCAGACGUCGUUGGCCCACGGCGCUUUUGCUAUGGUGGUGGAAGAAACUAGGUUCGGGAUCCGAGAAGACGUCUCUUAAAAACUUCUUAUUAAAUACCUGGUUACUUACUUACAUGAUACAGGCCUAACUUCAGGAGCCCACCAGCAUCACCGCCUUAUUAAAAGACUGGUUCAAUGAGAUGAAACGACCUAUGCCCCAUUUCAGCAGGAAGUAGCUAGAUCGGUUGCCACCCCAAAUCCCUCAAGAUUGAGGGACGGACAUAAAAUAGGGGGGAGUUGAUAUCGACCCUGAUAUCAGUUUCCCCACAUUAAACCCAGCAUAUAUGGGGUUAAAACCCAAACACUCAUUCCCUGCUUACUCUCUGGCUUCCUGGCUCCAGAAUCCACUAUCCUCCAUGGAGACAGACACCGUCAAAGACAAGCACCUGGACCAUCUCCUCCCCACAAAGAGAUACAGACUGGUGGGAAAGCUUCUGACCAGCAAGGUCAUGAACUCCCUCCUGUCUGCAAGUGUCUCAAGGCCAGAGACAGGCUGGUGGGAAAGCUCCGACCAGCAAGGCCAUAUGCUCCCCCUCCCCUACCUAAAGCCCCAAAUAAAAACCCUUCCUUUUAGCUUUUUCGGGGAGUUUGGGAUUUCAGCAUUAGCUGCCCUCUCUCCUUGCUCAGUGCUGUGCAAAAAUAAAGUUCCUACUUUCUUCCACCACACCCGGUGUCAGAGAUCGGCUUGCUGUGCAACGGGACUGACAGAGAAUAUGGAUAUUCUCUGUGUGGGCACCUAUCUGUCAGUCCAAGAGGUGAUACCUGGAAGGGCGGGAAGAGAAUGAUGGGGCCGGGCAGAAGAGGAAGCUCCUAGGGGCUCCCUUGAGACCUCCUCCCUCCUAGUUUCCUGAUCAUUCGUCUGCGGGAUGCUCCCAUCUUGCUGUGAGCCCUGGGGCCUGCGUUCCUCUCCUCUCACCAGCUGCCAACACCCCAUCGCCCAGCUCACUAGGUCCCUGGAAGCCACCUAAACGAGCAGCCUAUUUUUCACCAAACUCUUGGGCUAUAAGCAAAAGAGACAUACCAAACUGGCUCAAUAAAAAACAAAAGGAAGAAUUUAAUAUGAGGAUCUGGGAACCCAAGGGUGUAUCAGUUAGCAUUUGCUGCCUGACAAACUACCCCCCAAAACUUCAUGACUUGAACCCACAGCUGUUCAUUUAGUUUGCAAUUCUGCGGGUUAUCCACUGGGGCCAGGCUCAGCCAGGCAGCUCUUCUGCUCCCUGCUGGACUCCCUCACGUGUCUGUGGUCAGCCGGCAGGUCCUCCGGGCCCUGAGUGGGCUUCUACAGCCUCAGCUGGGACGAGUGGCCUCUCCUCCACGUCAUCGAUCAUCCUCUAGCCGGCGGCCCCGGGCCUCUUCUCAUGACAGAGGCUGGAUUCCAAGAGUGAGGGCAGAAGUCGACACGCCUCGCAGAGCCAAGGUCGUGAUCACUUCUGCCACAUUCAGUCGGCCAAAGUGUGUCACACGGCCAGCCAGAGGCAAGGGGGUAGGGACGCUGACUGCACCCACGGACGGGAGGGGAAGAACCCAUGGCUGGUUCUGCCAUCUGGCACCAAAGGCUGGAUGUGUGGUCGGAGAGCAGGAAAGCUGCUGGGCCCAGGGCACCUGCUCGCUGACCCUCAGCCCCAUCCCUCACCCCUUGGAAUCCUCUUCUCCAGGGUCGUGGGACCCACCGUUCUCUCCCUCUGUCUCCAUGCCAAUGGGCGCUCACCGCUUCUCCGUCCACCAUCCCGUGGCUUCCACGUCCACCGCACCUCUGUUCGAGGGACCUGCCAACUGGCCCAGAAUCCUUUGCCUUGUGGCUGGAUUUCCGAUGACCCUGGAGAAGGCGUCCAGUGGGUCUGGUGUCAGCCUCAGUCCCCUUGCUCAAAUCUCCGGGGGCCUCGGACCUGUCUGGGGGGGCUCAGUGCUCAGAAAACAGGGGGCAGGUUUUGCCUUACCUGCUGGGAAGACACCCCAAAAAUAUGUCUUCUACACAUGCAGCUUGGUUUUGCUGCUUUAAAAAAAGGAACUUCCACACACAGAGAAGUGGCAGAAGCGGUCACGACCCCCGGAAAUCAACAGCUUCCUCUCCCUGGAGAAUCCUGAUGGGCGGCAGGCAAUGGGGAAACGAGCGUGGAUGAAACCCCCGUGUGAAUCUAUGCAACAGUUGAGGAACGGUCAGUGCUGCUGUGACCGACACAAAGCCACCGACCACGUCACUGUGAUUAGUAAUAAUAGCAGUAGACCGACUUCAGGUUUCGGCUGAGGGCUGUCUGCGUCCCAGCCACCUCCCUACGUUCCUUAUGGGACUCAUAUGUUGUAUCCUCACUGUACCCAUUGAGGGAAAGAGAAGCCAGCCCCACCUUAGAGACGAAGCAGGUGAGGCUCAGAGAUGGCAAGCGACUUGCCCAAGGUCACACAGCCACAUGUGAUGCCAACUCCAGUCUGCCCAAUUCCCAAGCCUACCCCUUAGACCAGCGUGUCCCGCAGAACUCUCUGUGGUGGUGGAAAUGUGCUCUCUCAGCUCCGUCCAGUGCCUGUGGCUCUUGAGUCCUUGAAAUGUGGAGAGUGUAACUGAGGAACUGAAUUUUUAAUUUAGUUAAUUAAUUUUAAUAUAUAUUGCCACCUGCGACUAGAGGCUAUUGUACCAGACAGUGCAACUCUAAAUCCUAAUUGUUAAAUUGUUAAAAAUAAUAAAUCCCAGGGCUGGCCUGGUGGCACAGUGGUUAAGUUUGCGUGCUCCGCUUUGGCAGCCCGGAGUUCACUUGUUCGGAUCCCAGGCGCGGACCUACGUACUGCUCAUCACACCAUGCUGUGGCAGGCGUCCCGUAUACAAAAUAGAGGAAGAUGGGCACAGAUGUUAGCUCAGGGCCAAUCUUCCUCAGCAAAAAAAAAAAAAAAAAAAAAGGAGGUUGGCAGCAGAUGUUAGCUUGGAGCUAAUCUUUCUCAAAAAUAAUAACUAUAAAAGACCCCCAAGUGUAGAUCGCUGACUCUGUGGCUGUCCUGGGGUCCUCGCCCUGGUCUGUCCAAGGGUCCCAAUUUGCUCGGAAGGCCCUAAUAUCUAACCAGCUCCUUCCCCCCCCAGAUGUCCUGCUGUGCCCUUUCCUCCUGGGGGAAGUGAGUCGCUUCCACCUGGGGAGUGACAGGAGAGGAGCCGGCUCCUGCAGUCAGAGGGGUCAGAGGUGACACUGCAGCCACCGCCUCGGCCACCAACCAGCGUCCAGCUGUCCUCCGGCCGAGGCUCCAGCCGCAACCCCCGUCCUUCGGGACGGCUGAGAAUUCUCGCGAUAUUCCUCCUCCAGUAAACCGGGCCGACUUCCUCCCAGAGGCCUCCUGCCCCUCUGGUUACAAGUCCAGCCCCGGGCUGAGCGCUGUCGGGGUGCUGCCAGGCUUGCAGCACUUGUCACGUCGUGUCCCUAAAUAUCUCACAUUUGGGGUUAUUUUAACUUUUAUCGCAUCCGUUAGACUGUCAGCUCCGUGAGCGCAAGACCCGUCUCUGCCAUACGGUAGGUGCUCCAGAAAUGUUUGUUGAGUGAAUGAAUGAGAGACGAAAACCACACCACGGGGAAAACUCAGAGGGUCCGAAGUGGAGGCGUUGGCCACGGCCCAGACUCUUCUCUGAGCUGGAGUUUCACUGGAAUAACUCGACCCAAGCUCCCCUCACUCUCUCGGUCAGCAAAACAGGCGUCGGGGGCCCCUGGCCUGACCUCUGGUGGAUAAAUGGUCAUCUCACCACGGGAGAACAGCCCAGUGUGGACGGCAGCUGGGGUAGAGAUUGCCCUCAGGGCCCCAGAACUCAUUCUCUCCUCCCUCCAUAGUAACCGGAUCCUCGAUUUUUAGCUGGGCACCUGAUGUCCAAAGGGGAAAAGUCCUAUAUCGUCAUAAGAUGUGAGAAGUGCCAUGUGUGACUUGCAGAAUGUACCCUCAAAAGGAGGGGGCGUCCUUUCCUCUCGGUGGGAAUGGGAAUGUGAUGGCUGGAGCUGAGCAGCCAUGUUGGAUCAUGAGGUGAACGUCGCACGUGGAGGAGGACAGAGGUGUGCUGCACUCGGCUUGUGCCGGCUCACAAGAGCUCACUGUGCACAUCUUCUCCCAAGUCUGCGUGUAAUGAUGACACACUGAUAGCUGGAAACCACCUAUGGUAGUGACGUCUACACUGUGAACAUUGGAAAACGCUGCAAGUCAGGAAUUUUGGGGGAAGAGCUGAUUUACUGCUGGCAAAUGGGAGCCUGGAGGCUCCGUGAAGCCAUCCAACCAGCCCUGUCUUAAAUACCACUGGAUUCCUUCGAGAUGAAAGGAGAAACAAAGCUCUGUCUUACUUAAACCCCUGUUGUCUUAGUUCUGCUUUCCCUGCAGCCCUGAUGGAGAUAGCGAACCCCGAGAUUUAAGCCAUAAAGUCGAAGAUUUAAAGGCCGCUUGGCCAAACCAAGGCCCAAUGGCGAGGAGGGAGCCUGUGACCACAGGUGGGCGUGAACGAAUGGGGCCACCGAGAAAGCGUGAGCUGGGAACAGACAAAAUAAUGUCCCAGCAUCCCCCACGGGGAAAAAGGGAAACUUCCACCAAUUUGUCAAAAGUAAGAGACAUUAGAUAAGAAAACCGAGAGCCCUGCAGCUGUUCUGGUGGUUCUGUGACCACGCAGACAUCACACACUGUGUACCCAGAUAGGAGACAAAAGUAAAGAAAAACUGGAACUUCCCUACAUCACGCGGGCAUUCUGUGCCUCCCCGGUGGCCGUAUCUGUCGUGAGGCGCUCGGCGACCACAGGUGGAAGCAAAGAAGGGGGAGGGGGGAUUUGGCUUCGUGCUGCCCCUGGGCAGCCACUCUCACUUUAGUCAGAGUUGGCUAACUGCUGCAAUAAAUACCUUUAACCCAGUAAAAGUGUGUUUCUCACCCAUGUACAGUCCAGUGGAGGUCACUGGGGACCCAGACUCUGUUCUGUGUCGUCAUUCAGGCACCCAUGCUCCUUCUCGCCUGUGUCUCUGCCCUGCUCUGGGUGACAGGAUCACAAGUGAUAUGAGAACUUCUAAGAAAUGUAAUCUAGCGGAGUUCCUGGAAAUAAGAGGAAAUGGGUUUAGUGAACAGCUAGCCAGUCUCCCUCGUUCUUUUGUGCUUACCCAGUUCUCUGCUGCCACCGGGCAUUUGCACAUGCCAUCCCCUGUGGCCAGAAUGCUUUCCUCUCCUCUCUUCACCCAGUUAAUUCCUACUCAUUUAAAAGUCCCAACUCAGUAAACACCUGCCUGAGUUUCAUCAGCCAGCAAACCUCUCCUUCUCAUUAGGCAUCAAAAAUUGCAUUUUGAAGUGCUGGGGUGAUCUUUUGAUAACGUCUGU